AUUGAACGCUGGCGGCAGGCCUAACACAUGCAAGUCGAGCGAGCGGCGGACGGGUGAGUAAGGUAUGGGGAUCUGCCCGAUAGAGGGGGAUAACUACUGGAAACGGUGGCUAAUACCGAAUACUAUCGGAUGAACCCCUAUGGGAGUAGCUAGUAGGGGGGGUAAAGGCUCACCUAGGCGACGAUCUCUAGCUGGUCUGAGAGGAUGACCAGCCACACUGGGACUGAGACACGGCCACGACUCCUACGGGAGGAAGCGGUGGGGAAUAUUGCACAAUGGGCGCAAGCCUGAGGCAGCCAUGCCGCGUGUAUGAAGAAGGCCGUAUGGUUGUAAAGUACUUUCAGCGGGGAGGCGUUACCCGCAGAAGAAGCACCGGCUAACUCCGUGCCAGCAGCCGCGGUAAUAC
rnacentral:rRNA from 1 species